AGGACGAACGCUGGCGGCGUGCUUAACACAUGCAAGUCGAGCGGUAAGGCCUCUUCGGGGGUACACGAGCGGCGAACGGGUGAGUAACACGUGGGCAACCUGCCCUCAGCUCUGGGAUAACUCCGGGAAACCGGUGCUAAUACUGGAUAUCGACUUCUGCUCGCAUGGGUGGUUGUUGAAAGUUUUUCGGCUGGGGAUGGGCCCGCGGCCUAUCAGCUUGUUGGUGGGGUGAUGGCCUACCAAGGCGACGACGGGUA
rnacentral:rRNA from 1 species